UACGAAGGGGGCUAGCGUUGUUCGGAAUUACUGGGCGUAAAGCGCACGUAGGCGGAUCGAUCAGUCAGGGGUGAAAUCCCAGGGCUCAACCCUGGAACUGCUUUUGAUACUGUCGAUCUGGAGUAUGGAAGAGGUGAGUGGAAUUCCGAGUGUAGAGGUGAAAUUCGUAGAUAUUCGGAGGAACACCAGUGGCGAAGGCGGCUCACUGGUCCAUUACUGACGCUGAGGUGCGAAAGCGUGGGGAGCAAACAGG
rnacentral:rRNA from 1 species